rnacentral:lncRNA from 1 species
AAUUUCUUUGAGCUUUAAUUUUAGAAAAAACUUCAAAUACCACCCCUGUGGUUUUGUAUUUUCUCACUUUAAUACUCUGUGGAUUAAAAUGUAUCACUUUUUUAUCAUGUGGUUUUAUUUUUCUCCUUUUGUUAUCACGUUCACCAAUUUUUUUUAUUAAAUCAGUGGGCCAAAUUCAAACUAAAGUGAAUAUUCGAUAAAUCUAGAUGGAAUAUUUAAAGUUUUUUAUAUAUAAUUUAACGAAAUAUUAACGGAGAAGCUGGCGAAGAAAUAAAAAAAAAAAACCACAUGAUACUGAAUUGAUACAUUUUAAAAUACAGAGUACUAAAGGGAGAAAGUACAAAAUUAUAUAGGUGGUAUUUGAAAUUUACCCUUAACUAUAACUUGAUGAUUUUUUUGAUCAAAUAUUUAUUUAUUAUUAAAAAUUAAAAACUCCAAACUACACCAAGGAUCAAAUGGGAAGUAUUAUAUAAGAACGUGUGAAGGUAAAAUAUUUUAUUUGUUUUUGUAACAAAUAGUAACAGAUUUUGUAAACCAUAUUAAUUUGUUUAACAUAUAAUUUUUUUAAAGAAAAUAUAUAUCCUCCAUACAGUGUUGAAACUGAAAUAGAAAAUUUUCAGAUCGAGAUGAAUCUUUAAAAUUUACUUACGGAUUAAAUCACACGACUCACCAAACUAUAUCAAUAAUUAAUAAUAUCUCAUUAAAAAGUUUUUUUUUAAAAAAUAUAUAAAUUAUGCAUUAUGGGGAAGAGUUAGUGGUAGUUAGUUUGUGAUAAGCUUAGCGAAAUAACUAACUAGCCAAUCAAACGCGGCGACUCGCCACGUGGCAUUCGUGCCACGUGGCGCGCGCGAUCGCGCUUCGCGCCACGUGCCACGUGUACCAACCAAUCCACCAAUAAAAACCGGGACCAUCUCUCUCUCUCGCCCCCCCACGUAUAAAACCCUAGCUCGUGAUCUUCGCUUAUACGCCAUGGAUACGUAGUUUCCAAAUCAAGGGACAAGGGAACGGCCACGAUCACGACGAAGACGAAGACGAAGCAAUCGAUCACCGUCUCCAACGACAUGGGAGCUCUCUCCAAGCUUUGGUACUUAAUCCCUCCCCAUAUGCUGUUCCUAGGGCUUCAAUUCCUAUAUAAGAAGCUAAAGAUCCCACCUUCUAGUGCCGCAGUAGCUGCAACAAGGCACUCGCUUGUUGCAUAGGACCUCCGGGCACAAUGUCGCCCAUCGGAGUGAGGCUAUGCGUCGGGGACCUAUCGGUAUGCGGUAAUUUGAUGUGAUUUUGAUUGGUUUGGUGUUUUGGUUUUGCUUUUCUGGUGAUUUGGAGGGGAUUUUUGAUUUGUAGGUUGUGAUAGAUAAUGGGAUUUUCCAGUUGACGCUGUCGAAGCCCGACGGGAUCGUUACAGGGAUUCAGUAUAAUGGCGUCGACAACUUGAUGGAGGUUCUUAACAGAGAAGAUAACAGAGGGUACACAUUUUUAUCAAAAUUUGUGAUUUUUUGCACUACAGGUGAUCUAUUUAUGUGUAAACCCCCUGUAAAAUCUAAAUUUUCGUAUAAUGCAAUUGCGGUUUCGGACAUAGAUUGACCUAUAUUAUACAUAGGGAGUCAUCCAAAUCAUGUGGAAAAGUCGGUUUUGAAUGACGCUGAGCUCUUUACGGUUGCAUAUGAAAAUCGGGGUUUGCUGGGUCUUACAUGUAAAUCGUGGAAUUUUGUGCCGGCGCAUAUGAAAUGCUCUAAUUUGACUUGAUAUGGCAGGUAUUGGGAUCUUGUUUGGAAUGCACCUGGUGGACCUGGUACAUUUGAUGUGUAAGUCGAUUUCUUUCGACAUCUUUCGUAUCUUUAAUUGGUUUUUAUGCCAUAAAUUAUUUCCAAUGUUUCUGAUAUUCACAGUGGUGUUUUUCAGGAUUAAAGGUACAGAUUUUAGUAUAAUUCUGCAGGAAGAAGAUCAGGUUGAGGUUUCUUUUACUCGAAAUUGGGAUCCCUCCCUCGAAGGCAGGGUUGUUCCAUUGAACAUCGACAAAAGGUAAGUUAACAAUCGAUUAACUUCUCCUCUUAAGAGUUGACUCGCUAAGAAUUUGUUAGUUUUGAAUUUCAUAGGUUUAUAGUGCUACGCGGCUCUUCGGGGUUCUACACUUAUGCGAUCUAUGAGCACCAGGAGGGAUGGCCCGACUUCAGCAUGGGAGAAACCAGGAUUGCAUACAAGCUGAGGAAAGACAAGUAAUCAAGUUGCAACCUUGAUCCUUUGGAAUUACUGUACUUGAAGUUCGUUCAUUCAAUAUGAGCAGUGGAAUUCCAGUCGUAUUAAUCUUGAGCAUAUGAUAUUAAGUUGAUUUGUUAUGUUUUUUUAUCUUAUUCAGACACUACUUUGCUAGUAUUUAUCAUCUCUAUAUUAGUAAAUCUACUUUUGUUCGCUUAUGCUAUUAUAGAUUUCACUACAUGGCAAUAUCGGACAAUAGGCAGAGGAUCAUGCCCAUGCCUGAUGACCGCUUGCCUGCGCGAUCCCAGAAGUUAGCGUACCCCGAGGCUGUUCUUCUCACUAAUCCCAUCAACCCUGAUCUCCAGGGAGAGGUAAUUUAGCUCUUGAAUAAAGCUGUUCCCAAAAGCACUAAAAGCUUCUGCCUCGGUAUCCUCUCAAAUAGCUCUUAGCUGCAACAUAAGCAGAAGCUUCAUCUUUGAGAUUCGAAAGGUCAUUUUGACUUACUGCUGCAGUCCAAACUUUACGAGUUACCAAAUGACUGCUUCUGCAUUUCAAAGUGAAGCUCGCAUUGUGAACAGAUAAUCUGAGUAUUAAAAAGAUACAGCUGAUUCUAUGGUGUGCCCUCUCAGGUGGAUGACAAGUACCAAUACUCCUGCGAGGAUAAGGACAACAAGGUCCAUGGAUGGAUUUGUUUCGAUCCUCCGAUUGGAUUUUGGCAGAUCACACCAAGUGACGAGUUUCGAACCGGAGGGCCUCUCAAGCAGAAUUUAACUUCUCAUGUUGGACCCACCACUCUUGCUGUAAGUAAGAGUCUUUCUUCCUUUUCGGAGUUUCAUUGGCUCACUUUCUGACAAAAAAGAUACUUCAGAUACAGAACUACCAUCAGGCUUUAAUAUUUUAUCAGGAAGUUAUAGUACUGGGAUAGUAAACAGUUUCCUUUUGUGGAUUUCUUCAAGCUAUCUUCUUUUACGCCCUCUCAAUCAUGUGAUGAUCUGUGAUAUUGAGCGCUUUCUUUAAGUUAUUCUUCACAAUUCACAGAUGUUUUCGAGUGCUCAUUAUGCUGGGAAUGAUCUCUCGCCAAAUUUCAGAAACGGAGAAUACUGGAAAAAAGUAUUUGGGCCUGUUUUUAUGUACCUUAAUUCCUCUUGGGAUGGUUCAGAUCCAACUAUGCUCUGGGAGGACGCUAAAGUGCAGGUUACAAUUUAGCCUUUCAUUUUGUUAAAUAAGAAUUCUAGCGACAUGGAGGCUUCAUUUAUAAUGUAAUCUCUUGUUGUUGUACGUAGACGCUUCUAUAUCCUAGUAACAUAAAGGGCUAAUGUAAAAUUAACUGGUCCUUCAGUAAAAGUAGUUUUAGAACCUUGUGAGCGGAUUUAACAUUUCAAUGUUUUGUCGAUAAUUAGCAUGGUUACUAGGAGAAAGGUACCUUAUUUACAUGUUACUCAAAACAUUUUUUUUUUAUUCUUCUUUGUGAACUCAGAUGCUGAUUGAAGUAGAAAGCUGGCCAUACAGCUUUCCAGUUUCUGAGGACUUCCAGAAGAGUGAGCAAAGAGGUUCAGUCUGCGGAAGACUACUUGUUCAAGAUAGGUAUUAAUUCUUCUAAUCAUUAAAACCAAAUAAUGUUUCUUUACUCUUUUUCCAUUCAUUUAUGUAGCAUUAGAGCUCUAAUAUCUUUGUUUAUACUGGUUAAAUCCAUAAAUUCCCUUCCCAAACCCAUGUUGUGUGUUCUUUCUAUGGUUAUAAAUAUGAUUCACAUGUGGAAUUAGUACAAUUGAUGCACUUGAAAUCGUUCCUCAGGUACAUAGAUGACGAAGAUAUAUAUGCGAAUGGUGCUUAUGUAGGACUAGCCUUACCAGGAGAAGCUGGAUCAUGGCAAAGAGAAUGCAAGGUAAAAUCAACCUAGUAUUUUCUACUAAUAAUACUCCGACCUUUCAGUCCAGAAGAGAAUGCUUCCUACAGCAGACAAUUUCUCAGCUUAUAUUAAAAAUAUCAGGGUUAUCAAUUCUGGACUAGUACCGACGACAGUGGGUAUUUCUUCAUCAGCAAUAUCCUUACUGGCGACUAUAAUCUCUAUGCGUGGGUUCCGGGUUUUAUUGGUGAUUACAAAUAUGAAACAACAAUUACUAUUUCUUCAGGUUAGUGUCCUCUGGAUUGUUUCCUGUUGAAAACAUGUUUUUAGUAAAUACUUUUCGGGGAUUUUACUUCUAUAUACCCCUGCAAAAUCAUCUAUUUACAUGUAUAGCCUUGUAAAAUCUGAACACUCAGGUAUAAAUAAGCAUGGGAAGUGCUAUACCUGCAAAAUCAUCUAUAAUCAUCUAUUUAUAUGUGAAUAGAUAAUUUUGCAGCAGCAUGCAAAAUAAUUUCCUACUGUGUACGAAGGUUGUAUUGUUUAAUUUAACAGUUUUUAUCAUUGUUCAGGAGAUGUGAUUGAUCUCGGUGAUCUUGUGUAUAAUCCACCAAGAGAUGGCCCUACCUUGUGGGAAAUAGGCAUUCCCGACCGCUCCGCUGCCGAGUUUUACGUACCAGAUCCUAACCCUAAGUACAUCAACAGACUUUAUGUCAACCACCCUGAUAGGUUCGCAUAAGAUGACCAAAUUUCAUUUCACAAACCCUAAAUACAUUUUUCAUCUCCUUUUUGUCCAGUCUCAUAUUGAAUCUGCAAAUUGCCUUUACAGAUUUCGGCAGUACGGACUUUGGGAGAGAUACGCAGAGCUUUAUCCUGAUAGCGAUCUGGUUUUUACAGUAGGCGAAAGUGAUUACACGAUAGAUUGGUUCUUUGCCCAUGUUACCAGGUUAUGUUUCGUCAAAUUAUACAAAGCUGAUUUAUCAAUUUUUGAAAGUAAUUAUCGAAACCAAUCUAACCCAAUGUGUUAUUCUAGUUCAUAAUCUAUUAUAACUUUACAGGAGAGCUGAAGAUAACACUUACAAGCCGACCACAUGGCAAAUUAAGUUUCAACUCGAUAGUGUCUCGCAAAAUAGAACUUAUUUACUUCGAAUCGCACUUGCAUCUGCCGCUCUCGCAGAACUCCAAGUACUGUUUAGAUAUUCUGUUCCUUGUACUUUUACCUACAGUUUUUUCUCAUGAUGAACUGAUCACAUCAAAAUGAUUUCCCUGUCGAAGGUUCGCAUCAAUGAUUCUGCGGUGAAUCCGCCUCACUUCACAACAGGGCUAAUAGGGAGGGACAAUGCGAUUGCGAGGCACGGAAUCCAUGGACUGUAUUGGCUGUAUAGCGUUAACGUUCAAAGUGACUGGCUCAUCGAAGGCGAUAACACAAUCUACCUCACUCAAUCGAGGAGUUCGAGCCCGUUCCAAGGCGUUAUGUAUGAUUAUAUUCGAAUGGAGGGACCUUCGGAUUUUGAUUAGAACCGAAAAAUAAGUGCAUUAUUAGCUUCAUUAGUAGCAUGUUGAUUGUGUAAUAGAGGAGGUUGGACUCACCCUGAUGUUAUGUUUAAUUAGUGGCAUGUUUUCCUCUAAUCAAUAGAGAGUAAUAUGACUUAAGUAAUUAACCAACCAUCUUGCUCAAUCCAUUUUAUACAACAAUGAAGCAGCUUCACCAUGGAAUAAAUCUCUCCACUUUGAGGAUGAGAUCCAUCCCAGGAAACAAAUUUAUGAGCAUUUCCCCCAACAUGUACCAAACUAUAGCCACUCAUGACCUUUACCCCCUUCUCCUUCAUUAGCAAUCUCAUCCUUGCAGAAUCAUCGACAAAACCGCCCUUCGCGAGCAUGCUCCGCGCAAGCAAAUACCCUGCAGAAUUUGAGGGCUCGAGCUCGAGAACACGAGAAGCCGCCCCUCGACCGAGCUCGCAUUUGCCAUAGCUCCUGCAGGCACUCAACAAGGCGCCCCAGGCCGCAGGACCAGCUUUUACUCCUUCAGGCAAGUUCUCUGUUAUUUCCAUUGCUCGCUCGAUCUCUCCUGCUCUAGCCAACAUGUCGAUAAUGCAAGAGUAAUGCUCUAGCCCUGGCUCGAGAGAGUGGUCUAUCACCAUCCUUUCGAAACAAGAGAGGCCCUCCUUCACUAGGCCUCCAUGGCCACAAGCGGAUAACACCGCAAGCAUCGUAACUUCGUUGGGCUCCACUUUUUCUAGCUGCAUCUUCUUUAGGAAAAACAGGGCUUCCUCAGCGUGGCCGUUCAUUCCCAGCGCCCCUAUCAUCACGUUCCACGUUAGUACGUUUCUCUCCGGCAUUACGGCAAACACUUUUCUUGCAACAUCCAAGCCUCCACACUUUGCGUACAUGUCUACAAUCGCAGUGCCCACGGCUAAUUCGCCAGCCAAGUCGUUCCGGAUCGCCACGCCAUGAGCACAUUUUGAGAGCUUCAGCUCUGCUAAACUCGCGCAAGAUUCCAAAAGGCUUAGUAUGGUUACUGAAUUGGGCUUCUCUACUUCUUGUUGCCGCAUUUCGUUAAAGAACGCGAUCGCUUCAUAAGGUUUACCGCAGUGCGCACACCCCGCCACGAUAGUGCUCCAAGUGAUCACAUUUCUUUCGCCCAUUUCCUCAAACAGCUUCAACGCAACUUCAAUAAGGCCACACUUUGCAUAGGCAUCCAGUAACGAAUUCAACAGAAGAAUAUUAGACGAGAAUAGCUUCCGAAUAACCACAGCAUGAAUGCACUUGCACCAUAUUCCCUGCUCGAGCUUCUUACACAACUGCAACAAGGUCACUAAUGUCACCUCGUCACCUUCGAUCACGGCCCUCUUCACAGAAUCAAACAAUGCUAACGCUUCCGAACAUCUCUCGCUGUGAACGAAUCCAGAUAGCAUACUGUUCCACGAGACUAGGUUUCUCUCACCCAUUAAAUCGAACACCGCGUAAGCGGAGUCAACGUCGAGGCAUUUUGAAUACAUAUCGACGAGGGAGUUCGCCACAAAUUGAUCGGCCUCGAAACUCUUUCUAACAAUAAGUCCAUGAAUCGAUCUCCCGUACUUGAUCUCUCCUACACGGCCGCAACCUUGAAGAACACUAACCAUCGAAAGCUCAUCCACCUCAACUCCGCCUUCGCUGCACAUUUCCUUAAACAACCCUAAGGCGCGAACCGCUCGCUCGCUCUGCGCGUAGGCGCCGACGAGAGCGCUCCAAGAGACGACAUCUCUCUCACCCAUUUCGUCGAACAUCUUCUGGGCGGAACCCAAGUCGCCACAUUUCGCAUACAAACUCAGCAGCGAGUUCCGAACCGAAAGAUCAUGUAAAAAUCCAAUUUUUACAACAAAUCCAUGCACAUUGAGACCCUCUUCGAGGUCCUGAAGCUUCCAACAACCCUGGAUCGCAAGAACCAGAGUAGACACAUUGGGUUCGAAGCCAUGAACCCUAGCUCGCGCGAACAAGCCGAGCCCGGAAGCGGGGUCGCCGUGGCCGGUGAAGAAGCCGUGGAUCAUGGCGUUCCAGGUGACCGAAUCGCGAUUCGCCGAGUGCUCGAAGAGGGCUGCUGCGGAGCCCAGCAUGUCGCACUUGAUGUAGAAGCUGAUGACGGAGUUGGCGGUGGAAGCGCGGGAGGAAGAAGCCAUUUUGAUGGCGUCGGCGUGGAGCUGGGUGCCUAGGGUUAGGGACUGGGCGAGGGCGCAUGACUUGAAGAGCGUGGGGAGGAGAUCGGAGAGGAGGGAGGAGGGGAGAGGGGCCGUUCGCUUCGCCUCGCGGUAGCGGAGGAGGAGAGCUUCGUGGGGACGAAGAAGGGUUCGAGCGAUGGGAGCGCGCAUUCAAAGAUGAUGCGAACGGGAUUGGAGAGCCCACGUUACUACACAACUUCGUGGGCACUGGGCACCAGUUUUAGGGAGAUUCUUUUGAUCAAAAUUUGAAAAUUUUUUAUUCGGUUGUUUUUAAAUUGAUACUUUUAUCUUUUUUUUUAACAAACCUGUGAAUUAGAUGUCAAAAACCCCUCAGAUAGAGAUUAUGGAAUCUCUGACCCUAGAAACCAGGAUUUUGACUUCGAGUGUUGGUUGUUGUUGAUGAUAGUGCAUCCUCAGCUGCACACGUGGAACAGGGCUGUUUGGUUGUAUGUAGUUACAACUGCACUGCACGGUAGUUGUAACUAUAUGCAAAUAAAAAUUUAAUAUUUGAUUUGAUAUAUUUAACUCCAACUGCUGCUCUGCUGCAGAAGGAACUGCAGGGUUGAAACUACGCUUAAAUUAGCCGCUAUUCCAACUGUAGCAGUUGAAGAGAAUAAUUUUAAACAAAAGAUAAGUUACCUCCUUACUUAUUUUUAAACAAAAAAUAAUUUUUUUUUUUUUUACGUUGAAGGUAAUCUCACCAUCAUACAUAUAAAAUAAUAAAAUUUUAAUAAUUAUUUCUCAACUACAUGCAACCAAACAAAUUAUUUAUAAUUACAGCGAUUUCUACUACAUCCAAUAAAACAAGAUGCAUGUAGUUGUAACAGCUACAUAUCUAACUGCAUGCGUCUCCAACUACACUGUAUUUAUAAUUACAUCUAACCAAACAACCCCUAAAACACACAUACAAGUUACUCAAAACCCUCUGCAAUUUACGCCACAAUACAUCAACACUGCAUAACUUGACACCAUGUAAAAAGCAGCAUUUUGGCAGGCAUGUAACGAGACUCAAAAUUAUAUAUGAAAUCUCUCCGUACCCAGAUGGUCUAAUCAAGCGUCCAUUACGUGCAGUGCUCGAAUUUUAAAGCACUGUGAAAGGUGGGGCAUUAACAAAAAUAAAGUUUGUGCCAUUAACAGAUGAAAAGAGCUACAUCAACUUUCACCCAAAAAAAAAAAAAAAAAAAAAAAACUAGAGUCAAAUCAAAAUAGCUAGCUCCUUCCCUAAGAACACAUCGUGAUUUUAUUACAGUGAGGAGAAACAAGCAUACUGUACAGCAAAUACAACAUUAGAGUUAAUAAAAUAAAAAAUAGCACCUGAAAAGACAAAAAUUGCAGAGCGAUGCCGUCGGCUCACACUACUUGCGUAAGAAAACUAGCUUAUUUUUCAUAAAACGACACAAAAAUGAAAUUAACAAAUACGAGCUAAAUUUUGUCAAUUAAUGUGAGGUUACUUGUUCAUGUAGCAGCUCUGAAUGUAUGGGUUGUCGAAAUUCACAUACUUGGACCAAUAUGAAUUGUACUUUGUAAUAGCAAGAUCGAGCCACGGCUUGUAGUUCCCAUUGUAGUGAAUUACAGCAGCAUUCUUGAUCUGUGCGAGGUCUACUGCUGGAUCGUAGCCGAGCCCGAGCACGUGCCAACUGCGGUCGAGAGGAUACGUCAAGUUGUAGAAGGUGAUCAACCCCGGAGGCAGCGUUCCAAGCUUCCACAGCUUGCGGUCCUCAUUCUGAAGGUAAAAUGACAUUAUUAUCAGGGAUUUUGUCAGAAUAAUAACGCAAUAGGUAUUGAUCAUGACAGAUGGACAUACAUUUUAAAAGCUCAGAUGUCUGUGCUCGGAAUAGGAUCAGGUGUUGAUUAAUAACAACCAAAUUUUGAGAUUCAGUGUAAUCUUAGGCGAUAUUCAUAUUGCAUAGCUGCGACUACUAUACAAUUACUCACUUACACAAGUAUAGUAAUCUAAAAACAGAAACAAUGAUACCUAAUUAGAAGUCCAUUUUUGUAUUGUCAAGUCUUGAAUGAUCAACAGCCAAAUAUUUUUCACAGAGAAAAUAAAAUCUCCUGAUAUACAACUACCAACUAAUCCAAUAGAGUAAACUACGGAAAAAUAUAAAUGAUUGUAUAAUUAUCUGCUGAGAGACGAAAAAGAUAAGCUUAGCAUGCACUAACGAGAAGUAAUAGAUAAGAACUAACAAAACGAAGGAGCAAAAACUAUUGUCCUUUCCUUACCAAGUCUUGCCAAUAAUGAUAUAAUCCAGUGAUACUUUGCUUCUUCCAUUCCUUUAAAUCAAAGACAUUCAUCCCAAAAGCCCACCCACAAGCUCGUGGGUCGAAAUUCUCCGCUAUCUUCGGGUUUGAGAAAUUGAGAUAUGUAUCAAAACGAUGAAAGCUUUCUUUACAAGUUUCUACCGCACCAUUUACCAUCCCUUUCAUGUCCACCGUCCAAAGCUUUGUCAAGUCCUUCUGGACAACAAUAUCAUCAUCAAGAAACAAUAGCUUAUCUAGCUUUGGGUACACUUCUGGCAUGUAGAACCUUAAAUGGUUAAGCAUAGACAGAUACUUGGGAUUUCUAUACUUCAAAUUCUCGUUCCCAACAGAUAGCGAUGAAGGAUGACUUGCUUUAAAGUAGUAUUCCUUAAUCCUUGCAGAUUCAAGCUGGCGUAGGACUGAACAGUAAGAAGAAUUAAGCCACUUGAAUUCAUCGAUGUUUUGGACAUGAAUAGCUGAAGGUCGAGGAGGAUGAAUGAUGAACCACAUUCUCAUAGCCGCAAAAUUUAGUUUAUCUGUGACUACAUGGAAUACGUGUUUCUCUGGUUCCUUGGCAUUUAUCACCGUUGAAUUGACUACUACAGCUGUUGCAAGGACAUUGUCCGAGAAUAUAGCAUAGUGAUAGAGGGAAUUAUCCUCGAGCUUAUAUUUGUCUAGCAUUUCGUUUCUAGCAUGGUUAUGCAGGAAAUAAUCCGUUGUUAGCUGCAAAGGUAGGCAGUGUAGGGGUUUAGGAAUGGUUUUUGCAGCGUGCUGGACAAGAAACGUGUUCUGUUUCUUCACUGAGUUAAUAUUUUCUUCUGUAGAUUGAAGCAUAGCACGUAACUUCCUCGCCAGUUCAUUAUAGUCAAGUAGCACAUCUUUCGCCAUGGAUAAAGCACGCCCCAUUGCUUUUGCUUGUUCAAGAGCACUAAAUAAGUAGGAGAGAAUAAGUUAUACCAUUAUCCACUAAACCCACUAUAAGCAAAUAUAUUCUUUGAACAAAGAGAGAAUACCUCGUGUGAAGUUCAUUAUCAGAAUUAGCAUCAGUAAUAAUGCCUCGACUUUCUUUGAUAUGCCUCAUAAGGGAAUCAUAGAGAUUGAAAUCCUUCUUGGAACGAGCUAUGCUAGCAUAUAUCUUUGCCAUUAUGAUUUGAUCUUUCAUGAGCUUCAAAGUGGAAUCCGACUGUGGAUUGCGAUAUUCGAUCCUCCAGAUACUAUACCUAUCUUUCACUUUAUUGACAAAAUGCUUUGUGCGCUCAAUGGCUGCAUUUCGCAUCCGGAGUUCAGUGUCUCUACUCAUAUGAAUCAGCUCUGCAGUUCGCUUUUCCUUCCUUUUCUGCCGCAGAUACUGCAAGAAAGAGCACAUCAGCAAUGAUAUCCGGAAGGUUGUCAGGGACACAGAUGUAUUUUGAACUUUUCAAUAGUGAAUGUGCUGGAGUUCUUAUGUUUGUCUUGCCUAAUUUCAGAUAAACAUGACUCGUGAGUUAUGACUCUUUUUUAAAAUUAACCUGAGGGAACUUAUUGAAAAUCACCAAAAAAUUAAAUUUCUGAGCAUUCACAUGUUUCACAUACAAGUAGUAGCUUAUUUAUUACAGAUAACAAACCACGGUAUAAUUAAUAUUGGACAGAUAAAUUGUUUUGCAACUGGAGGUCAGCACUCACUUAGAAUAGGUCAUUGUACCGCAAGUAUCUUCUUUUAUUCAGGAGAACCCAACCGUGCCCAACAAAGUAAUAAAAAAUGUAAGAACAUGCAAAUGUAACAAGAGACUGACCUGACGCUUGAGCUUGGCAGGAUCAAACUCAUUCAUUUCUUCUUGAUUUUGAUCACGAGAAGACUUAGUGCUUCCUUGUGGUCCAUUUAGAACAUUCUCUUGUGUUCUAUUCACAAGUUGUUCAUUUGAAGCUUCAUGCUGUUGUCAAUUACGGAACAAAAAAACAUGAGGCGCUCGCCAAAGAAGAAAGCAAAUGGGAACACAAAAUUCUACAAGCGGCCCCUAAAACUUUUGUCCACACAAUACAAUUGUGAGAGUUCUUUUCGAAAAUUUGAUGUCCGCAAAGCUAGAAAUGUUAGUUUACCCAUCCAUGGGAACUAAUAUUCAAUGUCUGCAAAUCUAGACAAUGUUAGUUUCCACAUACUCGGGAUCUAAUAGCAACCAAGAGAAGCAGCUAGUAGUUUGGUGAUCUAUCGUCAUUUAUGCCCAGAGUACAGAUAAAGUACUGAUAGGAUGUAAAACGUGACGUACAAUUAAUGAAAGCAGAAUAGAAAGCAGAACAGAAAAAAAAUUACCUGUCUAACCACCUUCUGCGCGUGAUUUGUAGAGAGCGAAUUCUGCCAGAUCCAGGAAGAUGAUAGCUCCCUGGAGUUAACUUCAAAUGUUUUGAUCUUACCAGAAGGAUCAGUGUACAUAACAGUAAUAUCAACACCCUGACAAAGUUUGAAGGGAUUAACAUGUUCAAAAUCACCACUUUGGUUUGAUACUAAGUAUUUUGCUCAGCUCAUUCAUUAUUGGAAGUCAAGUUGACCUUCUGAACUGCUUGCUCUGAAAUGAUUUUCGUGAUGAACUAAUGUCAAUCAAGACAAAAUGCAAUAGUCGACAUCCUAUAUCUAUCUACAGCAUUAUAUGCUACUGAAGAGCUAAGAUUCAUACUUUCAAUCACAAGCCGCAAACAAACUAUGUUUUAUACAUCUAUCAUUCAAGUCAGUCAUCAACAUUUAAAGAAAAGAAAAAUUUUCAAUCGAUCUAAUAAUGUAUGCUUGGAGCAUCAGUAGGAUUUUAUUCAAGUUAAGGGUGAGUGUGACCCUACAUAAAUUAUUCAGUUGUCUGCGAUUAUCAGUGAAGAUGACUGAAUCUUAACUGUCAUAAAACAGACCAACAGCUAAGUGAAAUAACAAAAGAGAAAAGUGUGAAACCUGUUCACUCUCACAAUUCGAACAAUUUUGUGCCUGCGCAUAUUCUUCAACAUCUUUCUCACUGGAAAAGACGAUGAGAGCAGUUACUCAGGUGCUCAAUUAAGGAUCUAAACCUUUUCAUUAUCUCUGAUAUUUUCACCAAAGAAAGCACAUGGGUGAAAUUCAUGCAAAAAAAUUAUGUCUAACUAUCUAACAGUAUAAUCAAAUGAGAACUACUUUUUUCGAAUGGAAACUGAGAAACAAGAACUAUUUUAGAAAUCUAAAUUGCCAAAUUAAUACUUCAUUCUUUAUUAAUAGCUGCGCAAGUUACAGGUCUUCAUCAGCGGUCAAGACAAAUCAAUCUACAACCAGGCACAUGUGAAUUAUGCGUAGUACAGCAUAUCUUAGAUGUAAAUCAUUGGGUGGUAAAUUGCAUAAUAACAAAUUUAAUAGGCAAUUAAAAGAGCACUUCUCCAAAGUCUUAUGGCCCGUGUAAUACGAGAAGCACCUACCAAGCACACAUGUAUUCUACUACAUUAAAGGAGGGUUUGGGGUAGGGAUGUCAAUGGGUAUGGAUACCCGAAAUUUUAUCUGAACCCGAAUCCGAAUAAAAUGGAUAUAUCCGAUACUAAAUGGAUAUGGAUUUGCAUAUGGAUAUCAAAAAUAAAACCCCGACAGAUAUGGAUUUUGACUAUACCCGAUCCGAACCCGAACCCGACCCGAACCGAAUCCGAACCCGAACCCGAAUUUAUUUUGUAUUAUAUAUAAUAUAUAUAUAUAAAAAUUUGAUGUUAUAUUUGAAUUUGUAUUUUAAAAAUUUAGAUUUAAUAUAAUAUAUUUUGAAAUAUUGAAAAAAAAUAAUUGUUUCGGGUUCAAAUUUUCGGGUUCGGGUUUCAGAUUUUUGGUCGGGUUCGGUUGAAUGGAUUUGUUAAAAUCCGUCGGUUCGGGUCCGGUUUGGGUCUCGGGUUAGAGUCGGUUCAGGUUCGGUGUUGAAAAUCCGCCCUAAUCCGACGUUAACAUCCUAGUUUGGGGGACCGUAGGGUGGACACGUGUCCCCAAACGCUCCCCUACUCUCUCUCUCUCUCUAUAUAAAAUAAUAUAUAUAUAUAUAUUAUAAAGAUUUAAAUUUUUGAUAUUAAAUUUAAAUUUUGAUACUUUCAAAUUUUAUAUUUUUAUAUUUAAAUUCUAAAUUUCAAUUUUAAAUUAUAAUAUUUAUUUUCAAAUUUUAACUUCAAAUUAAAUUUUAAAUCUCUAACUCUAUAAAAUUAAUUAAUUAAUUUUAUUAUAUAUAUAUAUAUAAUAUAAUUAAGUAUUUAUUAAUAAUACCGACGUAAUAAAAUCUAACCUGAUAGAUGCAAUUUAAAUCACGUAAAAUAUUGCUGAAAAAAAAUACAGAAUUUAAAUUUCAGGAGUAAAAUUUUAGAAAUAUAGUGUAUGUGUGUAUAUAUAUAUAAUUAAUUUUAUUAAACAAUUUCUUCUAUAAUUUUAUUUUCCUUCUAUUUAUUGAUUUUUUUAAAAUUAUUUUGAUAGAUUUAUCUCAAAUUCUUUCCAUAUAAAUCUUUAUAAAAUAAAUUGUUGUAUAAAUUUACUUUGCGCAUAUACUAAUUUUAAUGACUUUUAUUAUUUAAAUAGAUUUAACUAUUAAAUCAUUUUUAUAUAACUUUUAUUUAAUUAGUAAUUAGACUUAUAAAACUAUAUAAAAAUAUUAAAAAAAUAAAAUUUAUUAUAAAAAUAUUUUUAUAUCCGUAGCAUCGUGCAGGUAUUUCACUAGUAUACAAGAAACAGGCUUAUGUUGACAAUGAACAGAAUGAACGGAAUCUACUACAAAUCAACAUUCGAUAACAGCAUAUGGAAGUAGAUUUCAAGGAACUAAAAAAGCAACAAUGGCAUAUGUUGCCUUGAAAUUGUGGUAUACAGUAUUAAGGGAGACCAGCAAAGCCAAUGCCUGCAAGUUCUCUUACGUUUUGGAUUUGGAGAACCUCCUCAGAAAUAAUAUAUCUGAUAAAUCUGAGUGAACGGAGGAGACUAGCAUCAUAGCCUGCAUAAUGCCAAAGUAACGGUGAAAAUAGACAAUACAAUUACUUAAACACAGACUUCAAUCACAUAUAAAUGAUUCAAUCAAAUCUCGUUAGUUUCCUGAAUUUAAUUGGAAAUUGAAUGAAAUUCAUCAAUAUCGACAACCCCAUUAACUAUCGGCCAUUAAUAGUUCACGGAACUCGUACUUCCAUCGGUCGAAAAAGGUUUAGAAACAGCAAAAUUUAAAAAAAAAUCACAGUUAGAUUUGAUAAAAAACCCCAAUUUGAUUGACCGGACACGACAUAGAUUGAAAGAACCAAAAGUUAAUAAAGUGCCAAUCAAAAGAAAAUCUGUUCAGCAGAUUCUUUUCCAAAGUGGUCUAUAAUUGCAGGGGUCUCCAUACAUUUUCUUUGACCAAUAAUAAGAGGUCCUUUAUUCAAUCUAACUCCAGGUUAAGUAAGAAACUGACGAAACCUCACAUUUACACUGGCUCUAACAUACUACAAUCCUCCGAACUAUCAAAUUCGUGCGAGUAAAAUCACUCAAGGUAAAUGCCAUUCUUAAAACCACAGAUGAAACCCUAGAAAUGCCCGAUCAAACAAACUCCUCCCAAUCACAAUGCGUUAUCACUCAUCGAACUAGUCCAAAACCUGAUAGCUAAAGAUGGAGAUCAUAGUAGUAGCGAUGGAGAUAAACAAGCACCUCAGAAGCAAAUCAAAUCGAAUCUAGUUCUCGAAUCACAGACAAAAGAACAAAUCGAAUCAAAUCGAAGCACGAGAGGCUAAUUCUCGUACCUGAACGGAGAAGAGGAAGAGCGUACAUCGCCCGGUCGAGAAGCUUCUGGACGAAAUCGCCAUUGCCGCAGCUCGCCAAGCACCGAGAGAGAGAGAGAGAGAGAGAGAGAGAGAGAGAGAAGAGGAGGGGAUCGCACACGUCGUUGGGAAGCGUGCGACUCUACCGGGAAGUGGGACGAGAAGAGGGGCGCGGAGUGGGGGGAAGGACACGAAACUCAAAGCACACGUGUAACGUCGAGAUUACUCGCGAUCGACGCCGGGGGGCGUAAUAUUUUCCCUGCACCGAGGCGUACCGCGUCAGCCGUAAACCCCACCCGUUGGAUCACAGUACACGUGUCAUGUCGAGGAGGUGGAGGAUGGAUACUGAUAUUCGAAAUUUUAUCCAAAUCCGAAUUUUGAGUGGAUUUAUUCAAUACAAAAUGAAUAUAGUUUUAAAUAUGGAUAUCAAAAAUAAAAAAUCCAACGAAUAUGAAUUCGGCUAUAGAUUUUGAUGAUAUCCGACUUGAAUCCGAAACCGACCCAAAUCCGAAUAUAUAUAUAUAUAUAUAUAUAUAGUGAGGUUACUAUGCUAUCGGAAGCACGGAGCCUUCCGUGCUUCCAGCUCGUUUUCGAUGUUGCGGCUUUCAAAUCGUCGAUCGGCUCCGUUAAACUUGAUCUAGAGUAUUUGAAGUACCUAGAAAAUAAAUUUUAUGAUUUUACGAUAUCAUUUGCCUAGUGAACGAAGGGGCUCAAAAUCAACGGCUAAAAAUAAAAAUCUUACAAAAUGUAAUAAUAUGACAUUAAAAUUUUAAAUCAAAGAUAUUGAUCUUGUUUUAUAUAGUAUAAAGAAUUUUCUAUNGGGUACAAAGGUGCUCAGCGAGGGGUACGUUUUGAGCCCCCGCAUGUGGCACCUAUUUUCAUGUAAUGGCACGGGCCAUUGCUAGGGAAUUGCCUCCGUUGACUUGACAGCGACCCCCAUCUAACGGAACGCCUCAACUCCGCAACUCCAUAACUUCGUCAACCCAAGUGCCUGCCAAAUGUGGCCCCCAAAGGUGUCACGGUCGAGUCCCAGCGAUCGACCCGUGACAGGCUCCCCCACUUGAACCAUCGAUGUCCUCGUCGAUGCUCCAUCACUUCUACAAUCUCCGAUAGCAUUUAUAGAUAUAGUAGAGCUAGACUGGUAUACUAUCAGAAGCAUUUAUAGAGGAUCUGGUGCUUCUGACUUUUUGGCUCUUAGAUCAACCUCUUUGAUCAUUUCUAACCAUUGGAUUAAUACUCAACCCCAUGAGUACUAUUCAACUUUAGGGGGUACCACAAUUAUCCCAACCAUAUAAUUCUUCAUCCAAGGGUCAAAAAGUUGGAAGCAUCUAAUACUCUAUACUUUCGAUAGCAUAGUAUCUCUACAUUUUAUAUAUAUAUAUAUAUAUAUAUAUAUAUAUAUAUAAUUUGAUGUUAUAUUUGAAUUCGUAUUUUAAAAAUUUAGAUUUAAUGUAAUAUAUUUUAAAAUAUUAACAAGAGAAAUAAUUAUUUCGAAUUCGAAUUUUCGGGUUCGAAUUCGGAUUUUGGGUUUGGAGUUAGGUUUGGAUUAUGAGUUUUGAAAAUCCGCUCCGAAUCCAACCCAUUGACAUUCCUAAGGAGAUGGCCUACUAAAUCUAUUUGGUAGUUGUUUUACGUUAUUUAUAUUUUUAAGCAAAUCAAAUUGCUCUUUUUUUUAAAAAAAAGGUAUAAUAAUUUUUUUUUUUUAAAAAAAACAUAAUCUUAUGGGUGAAUUUUAAGAAUAUAUUUUAAUUGAUUGGAGAUAUAUUACAUAUCGUCACUCACACCCAUAUUCCAAACUUUUUCACAUUAAUGAGAUAUUAGUAUAUUACUUGCCUGAGAGAAUUUAUUCCUACACCAGGUGUACCACGUCCGCCCAUAAUUUUUUAUUAAAAUGAUGUUGUAAAAAAUAUUUGUUACUCUAAUUUUAUAUCAUAGACUUUCUCGUAAGAAAUUUUUUUAAGAAAAAGUCAUAAGACGGAAAAGUAAAAAAUGUGUUAAAUCAUAACAAUGCAACGGAAUGACAAAAAUAAAAUAAGGUAAAUCACAGAAAGGUAAAGUACAGUUUUUUUAACUACAGGAGGGUAAAGUAAAAAUGAGAUAAACCAAGGAGGGGCAAUUGGAUGUUUAUCCCUUUCAUUACCCAAAAGUGAGAUGAGUUGAAAUGAACUCAAAAGGAGGAUCAAGCUAAGCUCAUAAUAAGGCAUCAAUAAAAGCAAUUUAGUCCCACUAAAUAUAUAAAGGGUAAACUUAAAAUACUGCUCCUAUGAUUUGGCACUUUCUCACUUUAGUAUCAUAUAGUUUAAAGUGUAUCAAUUUAAUGUCAUGUAGUUUUAUUUUUCUCUUCUCGUCAGUCUCUCUGUUAACUUUUCGUUAAAUCAUAUAUAAAAAACUUCAGAUAUCCACCUAUAGUUUAUCGAUUAUUUACUUUAAUACUCUUUAGUUUUAACUUUGUCAUUAAUUUAACGAAAAAAAAAUUAGUGAAGAAAAUAAUAAAAAAAAUAAAACUAUAGAGUACGAAAAUAAUACUUUUUGAACCAGAGGGUAUAAAGUGAGAAAGUGUGAAAACAUUAAUGGUAUUUAAAGUUUUCCUAUAUAUAAACUCAUAUUCCUCUUUUAUUAGGGAUCUACAAGCACAAUAAAUGUUCUCUUUGGUCUUUAAUUCAUCCUCUCUCUCUCUUCAUCAACUUUUACUCUCUCACUUGAAUCUCACUUUGCUCUCUUGAAUCUUGACUCCAACACACAUACUCUAGUUUGUGAACAAGUGGACCAAUAUAAACACAAGAAGUGGGAAUGAAUGGAAACACAUGGUACAAAAGCAUAAAGAGAAGUGGGAUAUAGUUGGAACAUAGCACAAAAGCCUUUAGAAAAGGUGUGAAUAAGUGGAGACAAAAAAAGUAAUUUCAUCACCUCCACUUUUUACAUCAUCAAAUUAGCAGCUACAUUAUACAAUACCUUCUUUUCCAUUAAAAGAUUACAUUUUUCGCAAUCAAUAUAAGUAAACCCAUUAAAAGAGAAGAAAAAAAAAAUCGAUUUACAAAAGCAAUUAAGUCGAAAAUCAAAUCACAUUCUCAUGUUAAUCUAGUAGGUUGCUUGCCCCCCGCCGCCUGGUUUGGAUUCCUCGGCGAGCGGCCGUGCUUUCGACCCUGCGAGGGCUCGUCUUUGGACUCCCUCAACUUGUUACUCUUCAUCGCCUCGAUCUUCUCGAGAGUCUCCACGACUUCUUUCAUAGACGGCCGGCUCUUGGGGUCGCCGGAUAGACACUUCAGAGUGAGCUGCGCGGCGUGGAGGGCGCCUUUCGAGUGGUACUGCCCCUCGAGCCGGGGGUCCAUCAGCCGGGCCAGCUUUCGCCGGUCGGCCAAGUACGGCUUGGCCCAGUCGGCCAGGUUGUGCUGCCCGCUAGGGCGGGUCGGGUCCAGGGCCCGCUGGCCUGAUAGCAUCUCGAGAAGCACAACACCGAAUCCAUAUACGUCGCUCUUUACGUAUAGAUGGCCUAAUAGAUUGAAAUCACUUGUAUUAGGUUAAACUUAGGCUCCAAAAGUAGAAGCUCUAAUUUGAAGCUUCUUUUUCUAGCUGCAGCAAGAAGCAGCCGUCGCAAAAAUUCUAGUAAGCCCUAAAGUUUUCGCAAGCUCCAGGGACAAAAGAGUGGGGGAGAAUAGUUCUCAAAUUUCGACAGCAUGCCCACAUAUGCAUCAUACGUAAGCCUUGGACCGCUAUUCGUGAUCGGCCACUUACUACAACAGUUAGCGAGGUAUCGCCUGGUACCCCACAGAGACCCGCAUUAGUACGAUGAAAUAGUAAAUCUUAGUGAUCUACUGCUCCACCAACAUAUCUAAUGAAAUCGUAAAUAUCCCGUCAACUAGUGGAGGAGUUCGUACCGGUGGCGACAUACUCUGGCGCUGCGUAUCCAUAGGUGCCCAUGACUCGUGUGGUGACAUGCGUGUCCCCGCCGGUCGGCCCGAGCUUCGCGAGGCCGAAAUCGGAGAGCUUCGCAUUGUAGUACUUCGCGAGAAAUUACAUCACAGGAUUAGACAAUUGGUUUAGAGCAAAGACUGAAAGAGUAUUAAUAGAGAAGCUUACCGAGUCCAAGAGGAUGUUGGAGGCUUUGAAGUCCCUGUAGAUGACUUGUUUCUCGGAUGAAUGAAGGAAAGCGAGGCCUCGAGCCGCGCCUAUUGCAAUCUUCAAUCUGAGAUCCCAUGACAGAGGCUCAAAAACUACCCCUCCUGUCCAAAAAGGGUGUAUAUAUCGUAAAGAACACAAUCAAACUAGCGAUAUCACAUAAAUCUCAUUCAUUUUAGUACAAAUUUACGAUAAUCGAGAGAGUUUGAACUGUUCUUAAUCAUACGACUCACUUCGAAAGAGUUGAUUCUCUAAGCUUCCUUUAGCCAUGAACUCGUAGACAAGUAGAAGCUCCCUGUCUUCCCAGCAGUAGCCCAAGAGUUUGACGAGGUUGGGAUGCGAAAGCCGCCCCAGAAAAUUCACCUCCGACUGCAAACCGACAGAAACAAAAGUGUUGCACAAGAAUCAUUUCUAACCCUUCUCAAGUAAAUUUUACCCAACAUUUAAGUUCAUCAAUCGAAACAUUAUGGAAUGAAUAGGAAUUAGAGAUAAUAAAAGGCGCUCAAUAACAUAGUAAGAUCGCGAAACAACACAAUUUUAAGUCAAUAAUUACCGAAUUAACUAAAAGAGCCAAAAAAAAACAACAACAACAGUAGGAAUCGGCGAUCACCUGCCACUCCUCCAACCCCUGCAUGCUCUCCGGGUUGAGCUUCUUCACCGCGAUUACCAUCCCAAGCCCGGUCUUGACCGGGUUCAUUGUCCUCUCGUCGACCCACCCUUUGUACACCUUACCGAAUCCCCCCUCCCCGAGCACCGUGUCGGCCUUGAAGUUCCGCGUUGCGGCCUUCAAUUCCGCGAAGGUGAAUAUCCGAAGGUUCGGCACCUCGAGGAUUCGGCCCUCGGGGAAGACCUCGUCGGCGCUUACGCCGAUGCCGCCGCUGCCGCUCCCUGUCGACUGCGGCCCGAAGGUGCUGCCGCUGAUGGUGGAGAGCUUACCAGUGGUUGCUGUACUACUAGUGGUUUUAGAUGCUGAGGGCCCUUAACAUAUAUACCCAAACAAAAAGGGGCAAAAUUGAGUUGGUAUUGUUUAUCUUUUUCCCCCCUUUAUACUGCUUAAAGAUGAGUACAAACUAAAAUUAUGAAAUUUUUAGCUACAGAUAUCAAAGAUCCAUUUCAGAUAAACAGGGAUUAUAACAUGAGAGCUAUAUAAAACUAAAAUCAUGAAAUUUUAGCAGGAGAUAUCAAAGACCCAUUAUAUUUCAGAUAAAAAGGGAUCAUAAUAUAGGAACUAUAUAAAUGUGAUGAAAUUAUGAAGAUAAAAAGCCUAAUAGACCCACUAGAACUGUAAAAUGAUACUCUUGAGAUGUAAAAAUCCAAAAUUUCCCUUCAAUUUGUGAAGAAAAGGUGGGAAAUUUCAGAACCCAAAUGAUAAUUAUGCAAUCAGAGGUGCCCAACAAGGGUGUAUGAAAUGAAGGGAAAAAUUGUUUCUUUUAGUCCAAAAUUAAGCACAAAUUAUCUAAUUAAAAAAAAAAAAAAGAAACCUCUCAUAAAUAAAAAAGAAAAAAAAAACAAAAACAAAAACAAAAACAAAAAGAUCUCUUUUUUUUUUUUUACCUGGACUAGAUGGUCUAGUGUUCAUUGGACUAAAAGAAACAAGAAGAGAGCCAAAGCAAUUCCCCAUAUCCUCUCUCUCUCUCUCUCUCUCUUUCUCUCUCUCUCUCUCUAAGCUUUAAGCUCUAAGCUGUGAGUUGUAUAGAGAACAAAGAGAGAGAUUUGGAGAGAUGGAGAAAGAUGGAGAGGAAGGAGAGGGGAAUCUAGAGAGAGAGAGAGAUAGAGAGAGAGAGAGAGAGGGGAAAGAUGAUUUUUUUUUUCUUUUUGUUAUUUAUUUAUGUGCCUAAACUAGAACAACUUUUUUUUAUUAUUUUUUCUCCAAAGCUUGGUUUUUGGCUUUUUUUGUGUUUUUUAGUCUCCAAGUCAAAAAAGUCUAUUUGGUACAAAUCCAAGGGAUGGGGGACUCUCAUGUGUUGUAAAAUUUCUGUGAUGAUUUAUUUGGCUGAUGUAAGAAAAAUAAUCUGUUUUUACUAAUUUAUUUUUAAAAAAAUUUUAAAUAUCAUCACUAUAAUUUCGUAUUUUCUUACUUUAAUACCCUAUAAUUUAAAGUAUAUCAAUUUCGCAUUCUAUAAUUUUAUUUUUCUCUUUUUGUUAUCUUCUCUACUAAUUUUUUUAUUAAAUCAGUAACAAAAUUAAAACUAAAGAGUACUAAAGUGAAUAUUCGAUAAACUAUAGGUAGGAUAUAUAAAGUUUUUUAUAUAUGAUUUAACGAAAAGUUAACGGAGGGGUACUAAAUUAAUACACUUUAAAUUAUAUGGUACUAAAAUAAGAAAGUGCGAAACCACAAGAGUGGUAUUUGAAAUUUACCCUUUAUUUUUUAUAAUGAAGCUUUAGAAUCGAUGGUAAAUAUCACUAAAUAUGAUCUACAAAUUCAAAUCUUUUCGACAUUAAUGACUUAAUGAUCAAGAGUUGUAAAAUUUACAAUUUAAAUG